rnacentral:lncRNA from 1 species
CAUGCGUGUUCUGUGUUCAAGAUAGGGAGACCAAAGAGGAAAAGCAAGGGAGGGACGGAGGCCCCAACACUUCCGGCUCCCAUGCGAACUCCCCCCUUGUGUGCCUUGGAGGGUGGAGCAUGCGCACUGGCUCUCCCUUUCUCUAUGGCUCUUUUCAGGUCGCUUGGGAACCCGAAGUGCCUCCUCCCUUUGCCUUUGUGUCCAAGAAGGAGAGAAGGACGUUGCAAGGUUGGCAGAAGCUGGGGCUAACAGCAGGAACUCAUCCUGCUCUCCGGAUUCGAACCGCGGACUUUUCAGUCAGCAAGUUCAACAGCUCAGUGGUUUAACCCACUGCACCAUCGGGGGCUCCUAAUCACAGAAUCAUAGAAUUGGAAGAGAUCUCAUGGGCCAUCUGUUGUGGUAAUCUCUGAGCGGUUAGACUCAAUUUAACCCUCUCUGGGAGAGAUUCCACCAAAAAGCAGCAGAGUAGCAAAAGCAAAGCUUUCAAAUGCAGCAGUUACUUACACGGGACAAGCAAAGAGAAGCCUUUGACCAUUUAGGAUUGCAAUGGACUGCAGAGUCUCAAUAAAAGUUCAAAAAGUAUUUAUUCAUGUAAAAAGAACUCCAUUGUAGAUAGAAAGGCUUGGGAGCUAUCUAGUCUACUCUAGACUGGUUUCUAAGGAAAAAUAAGAAAGGAAAAAUAACAAACAUCUAAAUAGUUACAUCUUGCCAGGAGAGAUGGCAGGACAUGUUGUUAGCUUGAAGAACAAAGGGAAAAGAGAGAACCAAAAUGGUUCCAACCUCAUGGUCCAGUUUAUUGGGGCCAUAAAAGACAUUCUGACCAAUGAGAAGUUAGUGCCCCUAAAGAUUCACAUUUCUGCUAACUUGAAAGAAACGGAUGUGACGUAAACAGGAUAGAGUGAAACACAGUAAAGCCUGUCUAGGCAUGCUUUGGAAACAGGGAAAGGAUUCCCUCAAUCUAACUCUAUCAUCUAUCUAACUACAUCUAGACUUGAGUGGUCCAGGAUGAUUCCCAACACCAUCCGGUCCAACCCCCUGGCAAGAAGCAGGAAAAUCAUAUUCAAAGCACCCCUGACAGAUGGCCAUCCAGCCAUCUCUGAUUAUUUUUUUCUCACUUUCUAUAUUCAUAGCAUUGCAAUAGCAUAAAUUUCACUUGAUUACUUACCAACAGACUAGGUAUGCAAAGAAGAGGGAGAGGGAAGUUACCAAAGGAAUGCAAACACAACAAACGGAAGAAGUUGAGAAGAAUGCCUAUUGUCUCUUUGCAAUACUAGUAGAAUGGAAUAAAAUUGGAUUUGGGUGGAAAAUUCCAUUGGGCAGUAUAAUUUUUAUCUGGGGAGCAAUGUCCUGCUUCUGCUUCCCUUGAGUUCAUGGUUCAAGGGUUGGUUUGUGUUUUGGAUAGCAUUUUAGGGACCAGGGUUAGAAUCCUCGCUUGACCAUAAAACCCACUAGGUGACCAUGGGCAAGUUAAAUAUUCUCAACCUCACAGGAAGUGAAAGACAAAUCUCUUCUGACUCAAUAUCAUAGAAUCAUAGAAUCGUAGAGUUGGAAGAGACCUCAUCCAGUCCAACCCCCUGCAAGAAGCAGGAAAAUCUCAUUCAAAGCACCCCCGACAGAUGGCCAUCCAGCUUCUGCUUAAAAGCCUCCACCACAGUCUGGGGCAGAGAGUUCCACUGCUGAACAGCUCUCACAGUGAGGAAGUUCUUCCUGAUGUUCAGGUGGAAUUUCCUUUCCUCCUAUUGCCAAGAAAGCCGGGUGACAAGUUCACCUUAGGGUCACCAUAACUCAGAAUUGACUUGAAGGGACACAACAACCAUAACCCUUUGAAAUAAAGGGUUAAGGAUCUCUUUCCAGUCCCCUCACUACUGCAUCACCCUUCUAGACUGCAUCCUUGCCAUGUCCCUUUGCAGCACUUUAGCUUUCCCAGUCUUUUGUGCAUAAUCAGGCUUGCUUGUUUUCCUAAACAACUGCUGGGAGAAUUGGAGUCUUGAGCUCCAAAUAGCCUGGAGGCUGCAGUGACUCUCAUUCCCUUGAAAGCAUUCCCAGCUCUUUUGUUCCCUGACUGCCUUCAGGCUUAUAGCAAACAAAUAAACUCAACAGUCACUGUUAGGGACAUUGGACUAGUGGGAGACAAUGCAUCAAAAUUAGCAGUUAAUUUCACAUAGCUCAACCACCAGAAAAUGGGAAAUCAUUCAUUCUAAAUGAUUAACUCUUGAUGGCCACUCCCACCCUUUGGAAUUAUUUUGCAUGGGAAGCU